UACGUAGGGGGCAAGCGUUGUCCGGAAUCAUUGGGCGUAAAGCGCGUGUAGGCGGUUCGGUAAGUCUGCUGUGAAAGUCCAGGGCUCAACCUCGGAACUGCCUUCGAUACUGCGGGUCUCGAGUCCGGGAGAGGUGAGUGGAAUUCCUAGUGUAGAGGUGAAAUUCGUAGAUAUUAGGAAGAACACCAGUGGCGAAGGCGGCUCACUGGCCCGGUACUGACGCUGAGGCGCGAAAGCGUGGGGAGCAAACAGG
rnacentral:rRNA from 1 species